GCCUCUGCUGGCGAAAUGCAGAAUUUUCAAUUCACUAUUCUAGUUUCAGUUCACAAGUUAUAGACUUACUGUUUGGUAAUGAUAUGUCUUUCAUGCUUCUUGAAACAGAUGGAUCUCAAAGUAUGCUGAGGAUCAGAGUUUAUUUUUUGAAGAUUUCAAGAAUGCCUAUACCAAACUUGUUGACACUGGUGCAACUUGGAAGAAAUCGUUGUAGUCCUCAAAAUUAAUCAGCAAUACCUCGUCAUAGCCAGUGAGUUGUUUUGGUAUAUACAAGAUUCCAUGACACAACAACAAAUGCAGUCAAUGCCAAUUCUUGGUUACAUGGGCAAUCUUGUGAUAGGCAAAUCCUGAACGGAGAAUUUGCAGCUGAAGGUUAGAAAAUGAAAGAAUUACGACUUGGAAUAAAAAGAUGCAAAUUAAAAAAUUUAAAGGAGAGUCUUGCCUCUCUCUACCUAUCAAUGAUUGUAGUCCUCAAGAUUAAUCAGCAAUACCUCGUCAUAGCCAGUGAGUUGUUUUGGUAUAUACAAGAUUCCAUGACACAACAACAAAUGCAGUCAAUGCCAAUUCUUGGUUACAUGGGCAAUCUUGUGAUAGGCAAAUCCUGAACGGAGAAUUUGCAGCUGAAGGUUAGAAAAUGAAAGAAUUACGACUUGGAAUAAAAAGAUGCAAAUUAAAAAAUUUAAAGGAGAGUCUUGCCUCUCUCUACCUAUCAAUGUUUCAGAAACUUGGCCCCCAUUGUUCAACAACAGCGUCUGCAAGCCAGUACCUUAUCCUACUCCUGCAGGAUCAUAGGAAAUGUUAUCUUGUUACACUUGAUCUAAAGAAAUGUAUGAGAACCAAAGGAGGGAAAAUGAGUAUAAAGAUAUACUACAGCUUCAUUUAGGUAUUCAUAUCACUAUGUCAAAUUGGUUUCUGUGAACAUUGAGUGAUAUAAUUAUGUCCAGAGGGUAAUCCUACUAAUUAAAGGUUUUGAAGCCCCACUUAACUCUCAUUCUUUAGCAUUUGUACCCUUUUUAAGUGGGGCUAAAAAUACUAUUCAUAUGUCUAUUGGGCAAAAACUAUUACUCCAUCCACUUUUUUGGUUCGCUGAUGCCUUUUGACUGUUAUGUCAAUGCUAAAUUAAAAUUAAUUAUUAUUCAUUUUGUAUUUUUUAUAAAAAAAAUUGCAAAAUAUUUUGUUUUUUUAAACUAAUG
rnacentral:lncRNA from 1 species